UACGUAGGGAGCAAGCGUUGUCCGGAUUUAUUGGGCGUAAAGAGCUCGUAGGUGGUUCGAUAAGUCGGGUGUGAAAACUCUGGGCUCAACUCAGAGACGCCACUCGAUACUGUCGUGACUGGAGUCUGGUAGGGGAGUGUGGAAUUCCCAGUGUAGCGGUGAAAUGCGCAGAUAUUGGGAGGAACACCAGUGGCGAAGGCGGUUCUCUGGGCAUGUCCUGACGCUGAGGAGCGAAAGUGUGGGGAGCGAACAGG
rnacentral:rRNA from 1 species